rnacentral:lncRNA from 1 species
CCGAAUUGUGGUGCAACCGGCCAUGACACACGGAAUUGUCCAAACAAAAGGAAACAUAAUGACAUAUUGCCUAAUGAAUCACCUAAUGAGUAAGUUUUACUUGAAUGAAAAUAAUGAAUGGUUGUUUCUUUUCAAUGCUAAUAUUGACUGUUUGUUUUUCUUAUGAUUAGGUUCAAAAAGGGUUGGAGAAAUUCAUCUAAUUAAUAGUCAAAAAAGGCUUCGAGGAUGUAAUGGAUAAAAGUGAUGAUAGUAAUUCAACAGAGAUGUGUUUCAUGUUUUCUGGUGUGGUUUUAGUAGUGGGAGUAGUAGCUAUAAUACAAUGACAUAGUGUUGACUAUAUCAUUGGAUAAAAGUACUAAGUUGCUUUUCAUUAACUAGUCUUAUAGUUCUCUUUAAUUGAUGUAAUGAGAUGUUAAAGUUUGUUUUAUUGGUAUCAUAAUAUGUUCUAGUGUUAUUUUUUUAAUUGGCCGAAUAUGAA